rnacentral:lncRNA from 1 species
CAGUGGUAGACCAUAAGCUUGCUAGUAAAGAAUGCAAACAGAUAUUGUAUGAAGCAUAUGAGUUAAACAAAAGGCUCAAGGGAAACUUGAGUGAAGAAGAUCUGAAGAAUCUGAGGAGAAAACAUGAGGAAGACAAGAGGCCGCUACCCAAAAGGCUAAAACAGACCACCAUCGACUAAUACUCAUAUUCCACAACAAUCAUUAUCCAGUUUUUACUUUCUAAAUUCUAGCAUUGAGAUUUCCAGCUGUCUUUAAAUAUUUAUUUUUGCAUUGCUGGAAGCUGUAUGAUGUAGUUUGCAUGAAACUUAUAAGUAUUUUGUACCUAUGUAUUCUUGAAGUAGAAAAGAUCAUAUAGUAUUUAUUCCAUAUAGUGAUAUCUAUUUACUCUUUGCGGGAAAGAAAAUGCUUUUGCAUAAGUCAUUUAUAUUGCUUAUUUUCUCAGUUUCUAUUAUUGAGCCAUCUACAGACCAGCUUUUGGCAUAAUAUCUUCGAAGCUUAUAUAUACAAACUAUACAAGAUCAUCACAUUAUUCAAUUUGCAUGAAAUUGUGAAACGAAAUUUGAAAUGUAGUUAUUAUAAAUAUUGUGAUGAAAAACAUCUUAGAUGUUAAAUGAAGCGUUACGUUAAUUUUCUUGUCUUCAUCCGAGAUUUUUCAAACUUAUAUUGUUACUUUUAUUUGGAUGGAGUAAUAUUUUAUUUUUCUUAGAGAAUUUAGGUAUUGGUUGUUAGUUCAAAAGUACCAUUUCUCAGCUCAAAAGCAGUGUGCAGGUGACUGCACAUUUAAAGAAAAGUUGAUUGGGAAUUUAUAAAUGUAAUUGAAGAUUAAUGAAUCGUAAUUAAAUGUUAGUGUUAGGAUUGUGAUUGUGACUAAUAAAUCUUAUUUGAUGAUUAUGCUUGAAUGUGAUAUGACGUGUCACGUAUACUAGCAUGUUUUGAUUUAUUUAUUUUGUGUUUCGUAGUCAAACGACUAAAAACGUUUGAUCCGAGGUUAAUGUAAGGGCAACACACGUGCGACAGUCUCCACGCGUGUGAGUCAACCGCGCGAUUUGCAAAUUGAGCCACCCUACUCCUCACUUUGCCCUGCCCAACGCCUCCUCUCUCACUCUUCUUCUUCUCCUUCUCCUUCUCCUGCUCCUCUUGCAUUCUCCCUUUCUAGAGAGAGAAACAGGCUGUCCUCGAUCAAAGGGGGAGACCUUAGAUCACAUCCCACAACACAAUCGGAUCCGAAUCAUGUUCAGAAGGCUUGCUGUCCGGCUCCGCACUCUCGCCCCGCACCGAUCCGCUUCCAAGACCGCCCAAUUCUCCGUCGGAUCUUCCAAACCCUCGGAGAAUGUUGUCCGUUCGCUCCCCGUUUUUUCUCGCCACUUCUCUUCUGAAUCCGGUGUGCUUCUAAACCCUAAUUUUUGACUUUUCAGGAUCGUUUCCAUGUUAUUUGAAGUGUUUGCGCGUUUUCUUUUUGGCUGUUUGUGGGUUUUAAGGGAAUGUGUUUUUUCUGUUGGAUAGGGAAUGUGCCUAAAAAGGUGGAGGAUAUAGUGCCGAUUGCUACUGGUCAUGAGCGCGAAGAGCUUGAGGCCGAGCUUGAAGUGCGUCGUUUUUACCGUUUUUGAGUGUUGCUUAUGUUCCUCUUAUUGUCGGAUUGACAUUUUUGACUGCUGUUGCUUAUUUGGUUUAGGGAAGGGACAUUCUGGAAAUUAACCAUCCGUCUGGUCCAUUUGGAACAAAGGUCAGUGCUAAAUCCUUUUGUUAUAGGUACAAUUCUGUCGAUGUUUUAUGUGCUUUGAGAUCGUUUUAGACUCUUAAUAGUCCAUAGGUAAUGAGAUGUUUUGUUGUAUUUUAGUGCUCGUUUGGUUCAAGUAGAGGAAUGGAAAGGGAAUAAAAUCAAAUAAAGGAGUGGAAUGGUAACAAUAACCAUUACUUUUAUUGAGUGUUUGGUUAAACAAUGGAAAUGAAUCAUUAGUAAGGAAUUCCCUUUCUUUUGUUUCCCCUCUAUUUUGAGGGGUAACAGAUUGAGUGAUUGGGUUACCCUCAAGUAAGGGUAAUGGCUAACUCAUUAUUCAAACCAAACAACAAGUAAUGGAUUUAUUUAAUUGAACCCCUUUCCAACCUCUAAAAACACCCAACCAAACGUGGUCUUAAUUUGUAGAAAAAGAAUAAUCUAAAGUGUGACAUGUUAGAUCAUUUUUGGAAUAAAUGGGAAGGGAUCUCUUAUUAUCUCGGACAAAAUGCUGACUUGUAUAGGACACCAGUGUUGUAAGAUUAAAUUUCGAAAAUAGGGUCAUAUCCUAGGAGCCACUAUAAUAAUGGCUAUGCUUAUAGCUAUUGGGUCUAUAUAAAUUAUUGUUUAACUAGGAGCCUUAUUUGUAAAGGUUUUGUGCCUAAGCAGGAAAAAAUGCGAAGGACCAUCAUGAGGCGCUCUGUGGCUUUUUUACAUUAAUGAAUAUCUCAUAGAAUACUCUAGUAAAUGAUCAUGAAAACUCUGUGUGCGUGUUUGUGUGUAUGUGAAGAGAGGAUUUAUCACUCUGUAGUGCAUUUAUAGUGCCUUCAUAUUUUUCUAUGUAUUGUGGCAUAUUUGCUGCUUUUUAUUAAACUAGUAUUUUUCCAUGCAAGUGACUGUUUGACAUAUUUAGCUGAUGUAUAGAAGAUGUUUCUAGACCUUGUCUUAUGGUUGUUAAUAGAUACAUGUUUCCUAAUUGAGGUGCCGAUCAUACCAGAAUAGAUGAGCAAUGAAUUAUGGUACUUAAAUAUUAACUUGAAGGUUCCAUAUCAGGAUGGUAAAAACAAAUAUGUUUCCAUCCCCUCAAAUUUGCCACUAGUUAUGCUGGUUCGAUAGACUUAACCGUUUCACGCAAUAUUGAUCCCUACUUUUGGCACGGCUACAUUUACUCCCAUAUUCUUGUUUGUUUUUUAUUAAAGAGGCAAAAAACGUACUGCCUAUACCAAUCCUUUGUUUUUUAGUUGGCUAAGUCUACCUUAGCAAAGAGCAGUAAUCCAAAUAGGCACGUAAAAACAUGGAGCUGCCUUAUUAAUUAUUAUUGUUGGGACCGUAACAGUUUUGGGGAUAAUUCUUAACUUAGUUGGAAUCUUGCUCAACCCAUUGAAAUAUCAUUAUAUAUGUAUUGGUGUGAUCUAUAUAUAUGUUCAUAAAAUUCUGUUCUUUAUAUGUAUUCGCAUGAUGUAUAUCUAUGAUCAUAAUAAUGUGUACUUCAUAUUUUGGUUAAAAUCCACUAUCCAUUUAGUUCGCGGGUAUGGAUAUGGAUAGCCACUAUCCGUGCCCGUCGUACCCGAUUGCCAUCUCUACAUGAGGGUCAGGAUUUGGGUACGGGUCAAGCUGGGUGUACGGUAUACCUGGGUGUAUAGGAGAUUUUGUGUUUUUAGAGAGUACGAAUUGUAUUUUUAUAUAUUAAAGUCAUAAUAAUAAUAAUAAUAAUAAUAAUUGAUUUAUUAACUUGAUCCAAGUCUCAUUAUUGUUUUACAAAUGAAAAGUAUAAUUAUAAAAUACUGUUACGGACUGGUUAGAUCAAAUACAGUCACUCUCACUGUUUCACAGCCAUCAAUUAGAGAGAGAGAGAGAGAGUUGGAAUGAUGGGGCGAACUCUCAACAGCGCGAUUCGUUGUGUACAGACGGCGGCCGAGUGCCCUCACCUCACCAAACUCUCUCUUCACGCUCCUAAAUCAGUAAGGUAUUUUUUUUUCUGUUUAUUAUUUUAUAUUUCCGGCUAGUUCUUGUCUUUACACAUUUAAUCACUUAAGUGUCUUGUUAAUUUGUCGUUGAUUGCCUGAUUUUGCUUUGUUUUGUUAUUCAUUUAUUUAUUUUGAAACUUUAUUGUGUGUAAAUGGAUGUGUGAUGAGGAAGUUGAAUCAUUUUACAGUAGUAGAAUUGUUUCAUCAUUUUAGCAUAAUUGAAGUAGCUAUAGGUGUUACCUCAAUGACUUUGAGCCAAAUCGAAGGAGCAAGAAGCACAGAUUUUGGACAUUCUUGAAACUCAUCCAUGUUCUCGUACUCGAUCUAUGUUGAAAAGUGUUCUAUACUCUAUAGGGUGGUUUGUUAACUAAGGAAAUGAAUCCCUACUUUUUACUUGUGAUACGAGUUACAUUUCUCGUGGUUGAAGUUGCCAAUACUUUUUAUCGUUCGCGGUUGUUUUGUUGAAGAAAAGCAUGAUUCAUGAUUCCUAUUCAUGGUGCUAAUAAUGCAUAGCAGCACUAGCUAGAAGUAAUGAGGAUGUUAGGAGAUAGAUACAUCAAUUAUCAGCUUGAGAAGCCGUGUUCUGAGAUUUAUCUUGCUUGCAGAUUCUGCAGCUUGUGUGGAUUCAUAAAGCAUAUGCUACUUUUUUUGUAAUAUUGUAAGAAAUUCUGGUGUACAAAUCAUAUGAUAUUAUGAACAUCUCAAAUACUGAUAAUUUUUUGUAGUAUUCAUAUACUAUCAGUUUCAUUAAAUGAAAUCAUAAGUGAAGAAUAGAGCUCAAAAUUGAAUUCAAGUCAUAGUUCUUGUGUAGACUAUAAUGGCUUCAAUUUUUACUGUGUCAUGUAAAUAUUCUUUAUCAUAUUUUUGCUUUGUUGUAUGAACAUUCUCCCAGGUGGAGGUGGAAUUUGAUAACGGCAGUGCAUAUAAUCUGUCAGCUGAAUACUUGCGAGUAUAUAGCCCUGCAGUUGACAGUAAGAUCAGAUCAGUUGGAGGAGAAAAGGUAACUAAAAUUCAUACAGCAUUCUUCUCAGCAUCCAUUAUAGCAAAUGAUACAACAAUACGAAGACUCAUAUGAUGGUUAAAUGACUUGGGAGUGGAAGGGUCAAAAAUUUGUUUGUAUAUUAACAUUGGAUGUGGUGAAAAAAUAAUCAUAGGUGCAUGAAAUUGGAACCUUUUGACCCACCCUCUGCUUAUUUUUCCCUUUCCAUAGAAAGUAACUUGAGCAUUGAUCAGGUUAUAGCCGGGAGGCGUGAUGUUGGGAUCAUGUCUGCAGAACCUGUGGGAAACUAUGGAGUGAGGUACUAUAAUUCCAUUGAUCUUAAGAGAAGCCAUUUACAAGAAGUGUUCCUCAUUAUAUACUCAUGGCAGUGUUGUCUGUGAUUGAUGUAGAUUACUUUUCGAUGACUUGCAUAAAACAGGGAUCUUCACAUGGGAUUACUUUUAUUAUCUUGGUAGCAACAAGCUUUCGCUCAUGAGAAAUUACAUCGGAACUCUAAAGAAACACGGUCUUAGUCGUGACCCAAGAAUAAGGAAGUGAAUUUUGUAGCCUUUCAAGGUAUCAGUUUGAAUGCUGAUAAGGACACAAAUCUUGCAUGAUUUUGUAAAUCUACUUUGACAUUGUAUAGUUCAUAUGACGCAUAAAUGAACCACAUGUUCUUUCAAAUAAUUGAUUGAAUAAUUAAUUCAUUUGCAGAACUACUUUAUGCUGAUUGGUUUUGUUUUUCCUCAAUCCAGUUCAUUACAUGCAUCUUCAUCACUAAGGAUCUUGAUUAUUGAACUCUUUGAGUUGAAUUUGGAGUAUCUUUAGAUUGUUAUAUACUGGACAAUUUUGAAGGAGAAGAUCGACUGAGGCCCUUCAAAGAUAUGAUGUUCGUUCUUUUCUAUUAUCAUGAUGAAUUGUCCAAAUCAAUCUUCAAGAUGCUGAGUUUCAGAGUUUUUAAUCUGCUGGAGGUGAAGAUUUUUUUUUUUUUUAAUGUGGACGGUCUCAAUUAAUUUAUGGAAGUAUCCUUUGAGGAUCCAGGUAACCACUUCAUAUAAAAUGCACUUUGUAUAGUUUGAUUUUAAAUGUUGGGGAAUCCAAAUUCAUUAUUUUUGAAUUGUGAUUACACGUCAUAUUAAUGCCACAAUUUAACGCAAUUGAGAAGCAAGAUGAGUUUGAAUUCGUCUUGCGGGUCAAGCAUUUUCGAUGGAAGAAGGACAUAGACGAACAAGGUGGAAGCCGGCCUAUUCCCGGAUCUGGAUCAUUUCUGCGCAAAGGGAAAGGAUUUGGAUUUGCAGGAUGUUUUCCAGAGAUUCACCUUAGAUAAUAUAUGGAGGAUUGUGUUGUAUUACGAUCCCUGCAGCUUGGUUUUGACAGUAUGAUGUUUUUCUUUGAAAAAUUGAUGGCUUCUUUAGUUCUCUAAAUUUUAAUUCAAUUAGAUUUUCUUUUUCUUUCAUGAUGAUGUGAUAAUUAUUUAUUAUUUUUCAGGCUUUAAGGCACAAAUUUCUCUUUAUGAAUCUCCAUGUUAGUUUGUUUAGAGCAUCCGCAUUGGGGGUUCCUUGAUAGCCUACUUGAUAGUGUUUGUGUUAUUGAGUAGGUAGUGCUGCAUUGGGGUUCCUUGAUAGCCUACUUGAUAAUAUUAGUUUUGAUUUUAUGUUUUUCAUUUAAAUUUAAUUGCUCAAAUUUAAAUAACACAAUUUAUUUCAAAUUUAAAUUGCAUUAANNNNNNNNNNNNNNNNNNNNNNNNNNNNNNNNNNNNNNNNNNNNNNNNNNNNNNNNNNNNNNNNNNNNNNNNNNNNNNNNNNNNNNNNNNNNNNNNNNNNNNNNNNNNNNNNNNNNNNNNNNNNNNNNNNNNNNNNNNNNNNNNNNNNNNNNNNNNNNNNNNNNNNNNNNNNNNNNNNNNNNNNNNNNNGCUACUGACUUGUUUGUAAUAGCUCCCGAAGAUUUUUGUUGGGUAUCUUCGCCUAGCCGGAGGUUCACCGCUUGGUUCCCGACCGUCCUGCCGCCUUCACACGUUGCUCAAGCAACAACAAAUCUCUACACUCCGUGCUUCUUCCUUUUCCUUCUUCUUACACCUAAACCUGCAAAAUCAGAGGAAGUGCAAGUGAAAAAGAAAAAGAACAGAAAACAACAGGAAGAAGUAAAGAAAGACAGAGGUGGGAAAAAGGUGUCUCAGGGACACAGGUGGCUCAGAUUUUUCCCACGGUAGGCUCGGCUCUUCCGGCAGCUUAAAUGAUCAAGGCUCAGGGAAACAUGGAGAACUAAUCGGCACUCAAGUCUCGCUUUGCACAGCCACCAAAAUCCACAGUGUAUCACCAAACAGGAAUCCAAUUAUCAGGAAUCCGGCGAUACACGCAAUCAAUCGGAGCGAGGUUCACACACACAGUCACCAAUCAGGAAACCACGAACAGGAAUCCGGCGACACUUCAGGAAGGAAUAGCAGAGCCUUCCGGUCAAACAGUGUGUAAAACUAACUACAAUGAAAGCAAUGCAGCGGGGAUAAAAAGAGGUCGAGCAAAAGGCAGGUGGGAAAACGAGGAGACGGGGCGGUGGAAGGGCGGUGGAGAGGGGGAAGACAACGAGACGGGAGGCGGAAAUAAGGCGGAGGGGAGAGAGAGUCAGCGGCGCACGGGAGUGAUGAAAUGGGGGGGGCUGAUUUGGACUUAGGGUAUAAAGGGGAUGGGCUUGGGCUUGGGUUUGGGCUUGGGGGGGGUUAAUGAGAAUUGGGCCAACACUCCACAUUCCACCUUUGGCACAAUGAUCAUUAAGUCACCAGGGAAGAGCCAGCCUUUGAAUCGAGCUUUAUCAUCACAGCCAUUUUUACUAUCAUCCUAUCACAAAGACAAGACAAUAGAGGGUGAGAAAAAUAUUAUGCAUAUUUAACUCAAUCUCAACAACAGAGACCAACCCAAGGGAAAUCACCAUUUCUCAAACCCAAAGGGUUAUCAUUGAAGACACAACAGACACACACACACAUGCACUCAAGCAACAUCACACAAGACACACAGAGCAGACAACAAAAGACAAAGCAAAACCAGACCAUCACACACAAACAUAAACAGAAAACAAACACAGGAUAGCAGCAGGCAAACAGACCAGAACACAACAGGCAACUCAAAGACAACACUCAUCAUGCAAAAAGAAAAAACAAAGACAAAGAAGAGACAAGCAGCCUUAGAGGUUUGCACCCAAAAAGGGUAGGGGAUCCACCUCAAACGAAACAGUGGGUGUAGACACAAGCUCAUACUUGCUUUGAUCAACAACAUUCACAUUCUCCACCUCACUUGGAGCAGCAGAUUGUGAGGGUUCAAGCAAGCACGGGACUGACUCAGCACAUACAGCAUUGGAGUAGUUUAAGAACUGAAAAUCAUGAUCAUGCACCAUAUAGACUCCAUCUUCUUCAAACACAUUGUUAGCACGCUGUUCAGGUUCAAAGCUCUUGUUUUUCUUAGGCAGUCUACACUUAUUUGACAAAUGACCAGGCUUUCCACAAUUCCAACAAAGCUUUUUAGGCUUUUGAUCAAACCCCUUUUUAUCUUUGUUAACAACAUGACCUCACCAUGCAGAUGCUUUGACUUAGCAGCAAUUGUCUUAUGUUACGACUUAGCUCAUUAUAGUUCAGUUUACAACUGCUCAUGUAUUAGCAGCUUUAAGUCAUGAAGCAGUUUAUUGAAAAUUUCCAUAUUAGUGUCAACAUCUUUAGAAGAAUCCAUUUGGAAAGACAUAAACUGAUUUUGCAAAGACCAAGUAGAUACUUCAGAGGGUGCAGCAUAAAUGGAGUUUAGUUCAUCCCACAGUUCUUUAGCACAUGCAUAGUGUGACACUUUCCUUACAACAGAACUGCUUAAAUUCAACAGAAUUGUUGCCCUAGCAUUAUCAUUCAUGUCAUGCAAUUUUUCAUCAGUGACAGUUUUAUCAAUUUUAGUUAAUAAAGCCUUAUUAACCUUCUCCUUAACAAGAAUGCAUUCUAUUUUGGUUUUCCAGUCCUGAAAAUCAUCCCUGCCAUUGAAUGGCACCAAAAGCAUAUUGUUCAUGAUGAAUGCAGAUGCAGCACUUAAGCAACCACAAUUUUUCACAGAAAACCACAACAAUCACAGAGUAACAGGUCAGUCAGACCACAGAGCAAAGCAGAAACACCAGAGAGAGCAAAACAACAGCGGAAACAAUAAGGAACCAAAGCACACACAGCCUGUCUAGAUAGCCCCCUUUCUCCCUUGAUUUCCAGGGUACUCGCACGAGGAGACUCCUUUAAAGGAGAAUCCAGACGAACUGGACCAAAUGCAAGGGAGAACCUCACUUGGCUUUGAAUGCCAGGGGUUUAUCGAGAUAUAAGGCAACAAGCGGAAGCACACAAAGGUCAGGAUCGCAAGAUACCAAGACAAACAAAAACAUGACAAAAAAAAAAACAGCAGGCAACACCAAUCCUAAUGACUAGGAGUUUUAGGGUCUUAAGCCAAUUUACCAGAGCCGACUUCCCAGGUAGGGGAAGAGUCGGUCUUACCAAAACCUUGCUCGUCGGGAGCGAGUCGGCGCAGCCAAAGGGCGGCGGGGUGAGAGGGAUGUGUUCGGGGGGAGCCCCGGCAAGGUCCCCGUGGCUCUGAUACCACUGUUGGGUAUCUUCGCCUUUCCGGGAUUACUCCUCUUGUUUCCCGAACCUCCGGUCCGUCUCACUCGACACUCUAGUGCCAAACUUCUCUUCACGUUUCUUCCUCUUCACCUUUAGUUUCUUCUUCUACCUGCUAGUACCUGCAAAUCAACAGAAACACAGCAAGUUAAACUGUUCAAAGAAAGAAAACUAAAGAAGACAGAAAAGUAAGAAAGAGCAGAAAAGAUUGAAGUGGGAAAAUGUGUCCUCGGGACACUUUGGCUCAGAUUUUCCCACGGUAGGCUCGGCUCUUCCGGCAGCGUUAAUGAUCACGGCUCAAGGGAACAUGGAGAACUAAUCGGCACUCAAGUCUCGCUUUGCACAGCCACCAAAAUCCACAGUGUAUCACCAAACAGGAAUCCAACGAACAGGAAUCCGGCGACACACGCAAUCAAUCGGAGCGAGGUUCACACACACAGUCACCAAUCAGGAAACCACGAACAGGAAUCCGACGACACUUCAGGAAGGAAUAGCAGAGCCUUCCGGUCAAACAGUGUGUGAAACUACCACAAUACAAAGCAAUGCAGCGGGGAUAAAUAGAGGUCGAGCAAAAUGCAGGUGGGAACACAAGGAGACGCAGCCAUUAAGGGCGGGGGAAAAUCGAGAGAAAGGAGAUCAAAGGUCGGGCGGAGGAGGGAACUGGAAGGGAGCAGAUAGGAGAGAGAGAGAGCAGCGGCGCACGGGAGUGAUGAAAGUGGGGGGGGGCUGAUUUGANGUUUCCCACCAACCGUAAAUACUCACUUGAUUUAUUUCUGUCCAGUGGUGACCAUAAUCUUGCUAGUAAAGAAUGCAAACAGAUAUUGUAUGAAGCAUAUGAGUUAAACAAAAGGCUCAGGGAAACUUGAGUGAAGAAGAUCUGAAGAAUCUGAGGAGAAAAUAUGAGGAAGACAAGAGGCCGCUACCCAAAAGGCUAAAACAGACAACCAUCGACUAAUACUCAUAUUCCACAACAAUCAUUAUCUAGUUUUUACUUUCUAAAUUCUAGCAUUGAGAUUUGCAGCUGCCUUUAAAUAUUUAUUUUUGUAUUGCUGGAAGCUGUAUGAUGUAGUUUGCAUGAAACUUGUAAGUAUUUUGUACCUAUGUAUUCUUCAAGUAGAAGAGAUCAUAUAGUAUUUGUUAUUCCAUAUAGUGAUAUCUAUUUACUCUUUGCGGGAAAGAAAAUGCUUUUGCAUAAGUCAUUUAUAUUGCUUAUUUUCUCAGUUUCUAUUAUUGAGCCAUCUACAGACCAGCUUUUGGCAUAAUAUCUUC